GAUUUAUUUUCACUUCAACUGUGAUAAACACAUACGAACAAGCAAAUUUGAAAUUGUUUGAUUUGUUUAGUUUGGCCUGAUGAUAAGCACUUACACGCAUUAAAAAUUCGUUCAGCUUAUUAUAUAGCAAAACAAAGCCUUGGUGCUACGUUCCGAUUCGGAACUUGACUUUCUGUUUUUAUUUAUACACAGACUUCGCAGCCGAUUGUUUAGUGUACAGGACAAUUGCGGGGCUAGCGCCACGAUCCUACUGACUCUAACAGUCUCUCCCGAGACGAGACUCGAACCUAUGACGACUGGUUUGUUAGGCCAGCAUCGUACCUCGAAACCAUCUGGGAAGUUUCAGAUUAUAUAUGCCGAAUGAAUUUAUGAUUAGUUUAAUAGUAUACAAUAUGAAAAAAAAAAUUAAUCCACCUAGCGGUCAGACUCAGCCUUUCUCAUUCAAAUUUAUUAUUUGUAAAAUAGAUUUACAUGACUGCUUAAAUCCAAUAAAGGUAUAUUCACUCUUUGGGUUCCAAAAUAUUGAUGUUGUAAUUUAAGUAUAAAAAAUGAAAUUUGACGUAAUGUUAGUGCUUAAGAAAUAGCGAAAGAGACAAAUCCCGCCAAAUGACCGAUGAUUGAA